rnacentral:rRNA from 1 species
AUACGGAGGGUGCGAGCGUUACUCGGAAUCACUGGGCGUAAAGCGCGCGCAGGCGGUCUUUUAAGUUGGAUGUGAAAGCCUACGGCUCAACCGUAGAACUGCAUCCAAAACUAUUAGACUAGAGUGUGGGAGAGGAAGAUGGAAUUAGUUGUGUAGGGGUAAAAUCCGUAGAGAUAACUAGGAAUACCAAAAGCGAAGGCAAUCUUCUGGAACACUACUGACGCUGAGGCGCGAAAGCGUGGGGAGCAAACAGGAUUAGAAACCCCUGUAGUCC